rnacentral:rRNA from 1 species
UUGGAGGGCAAGUCUGGUGCCAGCAGCCGCGGUAAUUCCAGCUCCAAUAGCGUAUAUUAAAGUUGCUGCAGUUAAAAAGCUCGUAGUUGAAUUUCGGGACCAAUAUGUCGGUCGUGCCUCGGUACGUACUGGCAUCGUUGGUUUCUCCCUUCUGACGAACCAUGAUGUCAUUUAUUUGGUGUCGUGGGGAAUCAGGACUGUUACUUUGAAAAAAUUAGAGUGUUUAAAGCAGGCUAACGUCUGAAUACAUUAGCAUGGAAUAAUGAAAUAGGACGGUACGGUUCUAUUUUGUUGGUUUCUAGGAUCGCCGUAAUGAUUAAUAGGGAUAGUUGGGGGCAUUAGUAUUCAAUUGUCAGAGGUGAAAUUCUUGGAUUUAUUGAAGACUAACUACUGCGAAAGCAUUUGCCAAGGAUGUUUUCAUUAAUCAAGAACGAAAGUUAGGGGAUCGAAGACGAUCAGAUACCGUCGUAGUCUUAACCAUAAACUAUGCCGACUAGGGAUUGGACGAUGUUAAUUUUUUAAUGACUCGUUCAGCACCUUACGGGAAACCAAAGUGUUUGGGUUC